GACACGUGGUGCCUUCAGGCUCUGGGGCCUAGGACCUUUGUGGUAGCGGAGUCACUGCAGAGAACCAGACAAUACCAGGUUGCUUAUAAAAGGAUGCCACGUGCUUGCUGGGGGUCCCAGGUGCAACCAAAUUGCUUGCAGCUAGGAGGACCUUGAAGAGAAAUGGAAUCAGCCUGCCAAACCAAGAAGGGUUAGCACUUUUGCUAGGAGAGCUGACCACGCACAAACAGAUGAGAACCAAAACCGAGUGAAGAGGAUUGAAGAUGAACCCACAUUUUAAAAGUUCUUGUCUGCUGGAGGUGGCAUUACCUGUGACCUUGCUUCACUUCUCCAUACAUGGCUGUUAUAGCAGAAAAUCCAGCUUUCUGAAGCAUAUUUAAUGACAUAUGAUGAGACUUAUGUGAUGUGAGACCUGAGAAAACUAUGAUAGAAAGAAGCAACUCAAGCUGCAAGGAUAUUCCUCAUGUAUCAUGCAAGGAUAUUCCUCAUGUAUCAUGUUUUUUCUAUCUUCUGCUCUUUGCCACCUGUGAGGUCCCUGAAAAUGAAGGCCAAUACUACCCAGAUUUGAAUAUUCUAAGAGAUUUCUCAAAAAGCUGAUAUUCAUAAUUUGAGAAGCAAUCAAGAACAAACGUGUGCUGAAAAAGUUGGUGCAAAAUCCUUAUUGACCACAGAUGGAAUUCAGUAAUUUAUAUUUCUUCGAAACAUAGAAAAACGGAAUAUUGGGAUCUGGUGGGGGGCCGGCGGCGGUCUGGGAGCGGCGCGCCAUGUACACCAUCACCAACGGGCCCAGCAAGCUGGUCGCGCAGCGCCGCACAGGUCUCACGCAGCAGCAGGUGGAGGGCCAGCUCCACGAGCUCCUGAAACGCCGGCAGCCCGCGCCGCCGACCUUGCAGCCCCAGCGGGCGCAGCCCUUCGCGCAGCCGCCGGGACCCUGGCCCCUGUCGAGUCCAGGGCCAAGGCUUGUGUUCAAUCGUGUGAAUGGCCGGCCGGCCCCCUCCAAGUCCCCAUCCCUCCAGGUGACCCAGGAGACCUACACACUGGCCCACAAGGAGAAUGUCCGCUUUGUGUCCGAAGGCUGGCAGCAGAGACUAAGGUGUCACUAUGUUCUUCAAGCUGCUCUGCUCCUGGGCCCAAACUAUUCUCCUGCCUCAGCCUCCCAAGAAGCUGAAACUACAAGAACAUGAGACUGUACCUGGCUUGCAAACACCAUUGCUAAUAAGAAGGUAUUACAUGGAUCCCUGAGGUCAGUCCCCAAUACUACAAGACAAUUUGAUAUCAUAAUAGAAUACUGCAGACACAAUGCUGAGUGAGGAAGAGUAGAAAUGGAAGACUUGGUUGAGCGGAAACUGAGUUCUUGAAAAGAGGAGAUGCUUGAUGAGGGCAUGGAUCCCUAAGGUCUGCCCCAGUACUAUAAGACAAUUUGAUGUAAGAAAACACAGCUGAUAUAAUGCUGAGUGAAGAAGAGUAUAAAUGAGAAGAUUGGUUGUGUGGAUACUGAGUUCAUGAAAGGAGGAGAUGAUUGAUGAGGCCAGGUGCAGUGACUCAUGCCUGUAAUCCCUGCACUUUGGGAGGCUGCGGCGGGCGGAUCACCUGAGGUCGGGAGUUCGAGACCAGUCUGGGAGACAGAGCAUGGAAACCUAAGGUCUGUCCCCAAAACUACAAGACUAUUUGACAUCAUAAUAAAACACUGCAGAUAUGAUGCUGAGUGAGUAAGAGUAGAAAUGGGAAGACUUGGUUGUGCAGUAACUGAGUUCUUGAAAAGAGGAGAUGCUUGAUGAGGGCAUGGAUCACGAAGGUCUGUUCCCAAUACGAGAAGACUAUUUGACAUCAUGAUAAAACACUGCAGAUACGAUGCUGAGUGAAAAAGAGUAGAAAUGGGAAGACUUGCUCGUGCAGAAACUGAGUUCUUAAAGAGAGGAGAUAGUUUAUGAGGGCUGGAGUGCACUGGAGCAAUCUUGGCUGGUCAAUACUGAGUUCUUGAAAAGAGGAGAUGCUUGAUGAGGAUGGGAUCAUCUAGUUGCAGGAAAACAAGGCUCAGGGUGCCUACUGAUUCUACAUUACGCUUGGUCCGGAGAGCUGCCUUGGACUCUCCAAUGAAUUCAAACAGCUGCCUCUGUUACCUUGACUCGUCUCAGAUUUCGUUGGCCCGAGAUGGGUCCUGGCACUAGGAAUGUAAGACUGUCUCCAUUCUUUUGGCUUGUUCCAGAGAAGCCCAUGCAAGGUUCCUACUGACCAUAUGUUUCUUUCUUUUCUUUUGUUUUUUUGAGACGGAGUUUCGCUCUUGUUGCCCAGGCUGGAGUGCAAUGGCGCGAUCUCGGCUCACUGCAACCUCCGCCUCCCGGACUCAAGAGAUUCUCCUGCCUCAGCCUCCCGAGUAGCUGGGAUUACAGGCAUGCGCCACCACGCCCGGCUAAUUUUGUAUUUCUAGUAGAGUUAGGGUUUCUCCAUGUUGGUCAGGCUGGUCUCGAACUCCCGACCUCAGGUGAUCUACCCUCCUUGGCCUCCCAAAGUGCUGGGAUUACAGGCCUGAGCCACCGCGCCCGGCCUUGACCAUAUGUUUCAUUUCUAGCUUUGAUGUCUGGGCAUCGAUUUCCCUCGGUUAAACUAUUUGCUCAAUGUUAAGGCCACUCUGUAGAAAUUUGUCUGUGUAACUGAGGUGCUAUGCAGGCCUGCCUGUGUGACUGUCAUGCAGGCCUGUCUGUGUGAUUGUCAGGGAGAAUUGGUCUGCCACAAUCCUUUUCUAAGCAUAGCCAAUAGAGGUAGUUAGGGAUAAUUUGUAUAUUACAGAAAUUGCCUUACAGAGAGUAACACAUUUCUAUACUCUCCUUCCAUAACAGACACUUAAAAAAAAAAAAAAGUAAUGUAUGCUUGCUGUGGACCUCAUUUAAGAUUGCAACAGAAGCACUUUUCAAUACUGUUAAACAGCUUUUUACUUUC
rnacentral:lncRNA from 1 species